UCUGUGGCGCGAGGACGUGCUUCGACAGCACCUUGCACGUGUGUCGUGGCGGACACUUGGUGCGUAUACGUGCGUGCCACAUCGCCUUGGGUUGACUUUCGUGUUCGCACGUCGUUGGCCUUCUGGUUUUUUUUUCUUUUCUAUUACUUUUCUUUUCUUGUCAUUUGUACUCCGCUUUUCCCGCGCGUUAUUGCUAUCGAUUUUUCGCGCACCUUGUGAGGUAAACGUGCGUGUCUUUUUCGCUAUACAUUGCACAAAACUUGAGAAAACUUUUGCGGACACUCGACUGUUUCUUUCUGUCGCGCCGCGGGCGCGAACGAACGAACGUUUUGUGUGUUUAGUUUGUUUCGUUUGUACUUUUUCGUCUUGCUAACGCUUUAUUUGCGCUCGUCGGAUAAUCGGCCGGAUAAUGUACUCCGUUAUCGAGCGCCCGCUCGAGAGGGCGACGGGAACCACUGACAACAUAAGUUUAAUCCCCAGGAAUCUCUGUUGAAUUACGAGACUCAUCGAGAUCGACCACUAGUAAAAAUAUAUCACGCGAAGAGGAGCAAAAGGAGAAAGUAGGCGUUGCGUCGCGCUGCACAUAUCGCGGCGGCGGCGGCCUCUAAUCGCUCACAGAAUAAAAAUCAUGCGUCUCCUGACGCAUACCGAUAUCGAUCCCGCACGCAGCAUCGAGGAUGUAUCGCUGGACAGCGAUGUUGGCUCGCGCGGAUUCGAGAAUUGCGGCGGCAGCAGCAGCGGGUGCAGCAGCGGCAGCAACGGAAUCCGCGA